rnacentral:rRNA from 1 species
GCGCAGCAGUCGCGAAUACUUUACAAUGUGCGAAAGCACGAUAAGGGAACUCUGAGUGCCUCCUAAGAAGGCUGUUCAGGUGUCUAAAAGCACCUGAAGGAAGGGCUGGGUAAGACCGGUGCCAGCCGCCGCGGUAACACCGGCAGCCCAAGUGGUAGCCACGUUUAUUGGGUCUAAAGCGUCCGUAGCCGGCUGGGUAAGUUCCUUGGGAAAUUUGGCUGCUUAACAGUCAAGCUUUCAGGGAAUACUGCUCGGCUUGGGACCGGGAGAGGUCAGAGGUACUCCAGGGGUAGGGGUGAAAUCCAUUAAUCCUUGGGGGACCACCGGUAGCGAAGGCGUCUGACCAGACCGGGUCCGACGGUGAGGGACGAAGGCUAGGGGCGCGAACCGGAUUAGAUACCCGUGUAGU